GUGCUCACUUCAGCAGCACGUAUACUAAAAUUGGAAUGCUACAGAGAAGAUUAACAUGGCCCCUGAGUAAGGAUGACACACAAAUUCAUGAAACGUUCCAUAUUUUU
rnacentral:snRNA from 1 species